CAGGAGAAAUGGAUCGAUUGUAGGAGCAACAAAAGCUUCAUUCCUUGGAGGGAGAAGAUUGAGAGUAAGCAAUGUACCUGUAGCCGGAUCACCGCGUGCUGCAACUACAGUGUGUGUUGCUGCCGACCCCGACAGACCCCUCUGGUUCCCUGGCAGCGUCCCUCCUCCAUGGCUUGAUGGCAGGUCAGUCAUGAUCCAGCUAGUAUAUCAUACUGUGUAUAUUUAUCAGGUGAAAGUUCACGCAAUCAAUCAAUCAAGCUAUUAAAAUUCCUCGAUCUAGCUAGUAUUAUAUAGUUUUUUUGGCAUAAUAUAUAUAGACGGACACUUAAACUUACCCUCAACCGAUAAGUAAGCACUCUAAUUUUGUGCACAUUUAGAUACCUCAACUUGAUUUUAACUAGCAACUAAACACUCCAACUUAUACUUACUGUGUCUCGUGAAUGCCCCACACUGAUGUGACUGGUACAGUGGAUACGAGCUGAGGUAUCUAGAUGUGUAUACUCAAAGUUGGAGUAGUUACUUGUCAGUUGAGGUCAAGUUUGAGUGCCUGUUUAUGUGUUAUGCCUUUUUAAAAAAAAGAAUAAUUGGAGUAGGAAAAGGGGAUUACAAGAUGGAAAAUCUAAAGCUCACCAAUAAGGUGAAAGUUCAUGUAAUCAAUCGACUGAACUACUGAGAUUUUCUAAUCUAUAUGCUGAAAUUAUUUUAUUCUUCUUCGUUUUGCAGCCUUCCCGGAGAUUUUGGUUUCGAUCCUCUUGGCCUAGGUAUAUAUCAGUCUAAUUCUGAUUUUUCAAUUUAGGAUACAUACAGAAGGGAAGCCUUGGAGUAACUGGUAAAGUUGCUGUCAUGUGACCAGAAGGUCAUGGGGUCAAGCCUUGGAAACAGCCCCUUGCAGAAAUGUAAGGUGAGGCUACGUACAAUAGAUCUUUGUGGUCGGGCACUUCCCCGGACUCUGCGCAUAGCGGGAGCUUAGUGCACCUGCCCCUUUAGUAUUGGAUAUAUAUAGAAGGGGAGCCUUGGAGUAACUGGUAAAGUUGCUGCCAUGUGACCAGGAGGUCACGGGGUCAAUCCUUGGAAACAUCCCCUUGCAGAAAUGUAAGGUGAGGCUACGUACAAUAGAUCCUUGUGGUCGGGCCCUUCCCGGGACCCUACGCAUAGCGGGAGCUUAGUACACCGGGCUACCCUUCAGUAUUGGAUAUAUAUAGAUGUCUAUAGAUAUAACUUGUGUAUAUCAUUUGAGUACAGGAUCUGACCCAGAGAGCUUGAGAUGGAACCAACAGGCAGAGAUUGUACACUGCAGAUGGGCAAUGUUGGGAGCUGCAGGAAUUUUCAUUCCAGAAUUCCUCACGAAACUCGGUAUCCUUAACACACCUUCAUGGUACACUGCUGGUGAACUAGAAUACUUCACGGACACAACGACUCUCUUCAUCAUUGAGUUGAUACUUAUCGGUUGGGCCGAGGGAAGAAGGUGGGCCGAUAUCAUCAAGCCUGGUUGUGUAAACACUGACCCUAUCUUCCCUAACAACAAGCUCACAGGGACAGACGUUGGUUAUCCAGGAGGCUUAUGGUUUGAUCCGUUGGGUUGGGGUUCGGGUUCACCUGAGAAGAUAAAGGAGUUGAGGACAAAGGAGAUCAAGAACGGUAGACUUGCUAUGUUAGCCGUUAUGGGCGCAUGGUUCCAACACAUUUACACUGGAACAGGUCCUAUUGACAACCU
rnacentral:lncRNA from 1 species